UACGUAGGUGGCGAGCGUUGUCCGGAUUUACUGGGCGUAAAGGGCGUGCAGGCGGUUUGUUAAGUGCAGGGUGAAAGCUCCCGGCUCAACUGGGAGAGGUCCUUGCAUACUGGCGAACUCGAGGGAGGCAGAGGAAAGUGGAAUUCCCGGUGUAGUGGUGAUAUGCGUAGAUAUCGGGAGGAACACCUGUGGCGAAGGCGGCUUUCUGGGCCUUACCUGACGCUGAGACGCGAAAGCGUGGGGAGCGGACCGG
rnacentral:rRNA from 1 species